rnacentral:lncRNA from 1 species
AUUAGUGUAUAUUUUCCAACCUUGAGGCAUGAAAUUCUGGAGCUUAUUAUUGAAAAACUACUCAAGCUGGAUGUGAAUGCAUCCCGGCAGGGUAUUGAAGAUGCUGAAGAAACAGCAAAUCAAACUUGUGGUGGGACAGAUUCCACGGAAGGAUUGUUUAAUAUGAGGGAUUCGCAGAGGCAUUUUUGGAACAUCUUUGGAAAAACUUGCAGGAUCCAAGUAAUCCUGCCAUCAUCAGGCAGGCUGCUGGAAAUUAUAUUGGAAGCUUUUUGGCAAGAGCUAAAUUUAUUUCUCUUAUUACUGUAAAACCAUGCCUAGAUCUUUUGGUUAACUGGCUGC